GAUACAGAAAGUAAGCAAGGGCAGACGGUGGAUGCCUUGGCUCUCGGAGGCGAUGAAGGACGUGAUAAGCUGCGAUAAGCUUGGGGUAGGUGCAAAUAACCUUUGAUCCCAAGAUUUCCGAAUGGGGCAACCCGGCUGGUAGAAGGCCAGUCAUUCCGUAAGGAAGGCGAACGUGGGGAACUGAAACAUCUAAGUACCCAUAGGAGAAGAAAACAAAAGUGAUUCCGCAAGUAGUGGCGAGCGAACGCGGAACAGCCCAAACCGAUGAUGUUUAGGCAUUGUCGGGGUAGUAGGACCACGUUGUGGCAAGAGAUUAAGGAAGUAGAACGUUUUGGAACAAACGGCCAUAGACGGUGAAAGCCCGGUACAUGACUCCCUUACGAAGCCUAGUGGUAUCCUGAGUAGCGCGGGGCACGAGAAAUUCUGUGUGAAUCAGCGGGGCCCAUCCCGUAAGGCUAAAUACUCCCGAGAGACCGAUAGCGAACCAGUACUGUGAAGGAAAGGUGAAAAGCACCUCGAACAGAGGAGUGAAAUAGUCCCUGAAACCGUCUGCCUACAAGCGGUCGGAGCAACGUAAGUUGUGACGGCGUGCCUUUUGCAUAAUGAACCUACGAGUUACUUUCUCCGGCAAGGUUAAGGGCUUCAGGCCCGGAGCCGAAGCGAAAGCGAGUCUUAAUAGGGCGUGAUAGUCGGAGUGAGUAGACGCGAAACCAAGUGAUCUACCCUUGGUCAGGAUGAAGGUUGGGUAACACCAACUGGAGGUCCGAAUGGGUAUACGUUGAAAAGUGUUCCAAUGAACUGAGGGUAGGGGUGAAAGGCUAAUCAAACUUGGAGAUAGCUCGUACUCCCCGAAAUGCAUUUAGGUGCAGCCUUUAUUUAGUAUAGCAUGAGGUAGAGCGACUGAUUGGAUGCGAGGGCUUCACCGCCUAUCAAGUCCAGAUAAACUCCGAAUGCGUGCUAUAUAUUGAUAAGGAGUGAGGGCGCGGGUGCUAAGGUCCGCGUCCGAGAGGAGAAGAAUCCAGACCAUCAGCUAAGGUCCCCAAAUAACAGUUAAGUUGAACUAACGAAGUCGGACUGCAGAGACAGCUAGGAUGUUGGCUUGGAAGCAGCCAUUCAUUUAAAGAGUGCGUAACAGCUCACUAGUCGAGGAGUCCGGCGUGGAUAAUACUCGGGCAUAAACUGUUUACCGAAGCUAUGGAUGUGUAAACACAUGGUAGGGGAGCAUUCCAACGGCGUCGAAGGUGAAGGAUGACCUUUGCUGGAGCUUUUGGAAACGCAAAUGUAGGUAUAAGUAACGAUAAAGGAGGUGAGAAACCUCCUCGCCGAAAGACUAAGGUUUCCUGAUCAACGUUAAUCGGAUCAGGGUAAGUCGGGACCUAAGGUUAAGCCGAACGGCGAUACCGAUGGAAGAAUGGUUUAAUAUUCCCAUACUACUUUAUGGAGCGAUGUGGAGACGGAGAAGUGACAGUCCUGCCAUCUGACGGAAUAGGUGGUUGAAGAGUGUAGAUGUAGAUUCCUGUAGGCAAAUCCGCAGGGAGAGUCGACCUUGACAGUAUGCCGCGUGCUUGCACAAGGCAAAAUGGACGUAAUCAGGCUCCCAAGAAAAUCCGCUAAGCAUAUUCAUAAAGUACCCGUACCGUAAACGGACACACGUAGUUGGGUUGAAAAUACUGAGGCGCUCGAGUGAUUCACGGUUAAGGAACUAGGCAAAUUGACCCUGUAACUUCGGGAUAAAGGGUCCCUACUGAGAGGUAGGGCGCAGAGAAUAGGUCCAGGCAACUGUUUAACAAAAACACAUGGCUGUGCGAAAUAGAAAUAUGAAGUAUACAGCCUGACACCUGCCCGGUGCUGGAAGGUUAAGAGGAGAGCUCAUCGCAAGAGAAGGCUUGAAUUGAAGCCCCAGUAAACGGCGGCCGUAACUAUAACGGUCCUAAGGUAGCGAAAUUCCUUGUCGGGUAAGUUCCGACCUGCACGAAUGG
rnacentral:rRNA from 1 species